rnacentral:rRNA from 1 species
UGGGGAAUCUUGCACAAUGGAGGAAACUCUGAUGCAGCGACGCCGCGUGAGCGAAGAAGCCUUUCGGGGUGUAAAGCUCUUUCGACCGGAACGAUAAUGACGGUACCGGGAGAAGAAGCUGCGGCUAACUACGUGCCAGCAGCCGCGGUAAUACGUAGGUAGCAAGCGUUGUUCGGAGUUACUGGGCGUAAAGAGUGCGUAGGCGGUUUUCUAAGUUCGGUGUGAAAGCUCCCGGCUUAACUGGGAGGGUGCGCCGAAGACUGGGAAGCUGGAGUGUGGGAAAGGCAGGCGGAAUUCCUGGUGUAGCGGUGAAAUGCGUAGAUAUCAGGAGGAACACCGGCGGUGUAGACGGCUUGCUAGACCAUAACUGACGCUGAGGCACGAAAGCGUGGGUA